AAGUCUCUCGUGUGUGCCCUCCUUGCUCUGCUUCCCCUUUUCCUGUCAGAUGCAGAAGUCGAAAAGGCCUGGUCUGAUGGCGAGCCUGCCACCGUUCUGUGCUCUAGAUGUGGGUGAAUGUCUGCCAGAAGGGACCACCAGUGACCACCUGAUACAGGCCACUGUGGGUUACACCCCUUCAGCCGUAACCUGAGGACAACAGGCUGCUGCAGACAUUCCCGGUGCUCCUGCUUUCAGGGAGGGAGUGGAUCAGUGCGGGUCCUGGCUUACCCUGCAGGCCCAAGCCACAGAGAGAUUCCUCCACUGAGAGUAGAGGGAGUUUCUAAGCUUCUAUGGUGGACUAGGAACCAGCGGCCCUCUAGGAUCCUUCCAGGCUCACAGUGGCUAGGUAGGAACCAGCAAAGCACCCAUGCUAUGGACUCAGUAACUGUUGGUUGUCCCACCACCCCGGUGAGCCAGCUACUGUGAGACUCCUACACUUGAGGCAGCUGGCUUCCAUCACCGAGGAACUACCAGGUUCUCAGCACCACAGAUGUGAUUCUGCUGCAGCCCCUAUUUGAAAGGUCACUUAAUACAUUUAUUCAUUCCCUUGGUUCUGUCCCUGUAGAGAACACUGGCUAAUGCACCCUCCUUUCAGGUUUGCUUCAAGGACAUUUCCACACCCCUAUACCAAAACGGCCAACACCUGGACCAGGGCUCCUCACUUUAGGAAGCUUGACCAUGCUCAGGUCAUGUACACACGGCAUAGCUGUUCUGCAGAAGGCAGUUUGGAGAAUGUGUUCAGUGCAGAGCUCUGCCUCAGUUUCUCCUGGCUCUUCCAAAACAUCUGUUCCCACCAGAGUCUCUUGAGCUUUCUCUGGACCAUUUACGAGUGUUCUGCUAUCCAUGGGGAGCUUUGUCCCUGGCUCCCUUUACUGCUCCCCACAGCCCACACCAAAUGAUCCCUAUCUGUGUCCACGGCACCUCUGUACUUUUGUGGCUCCAGUUUGCCAUGUUGAAGCGCUGGCGGCCAAGAGCAGGUGUGUUCUUGAGAUGAGAUUCUACAGGGGGUUCAUCUCUGGGUGCUUGCACUAUGGCUGCUGCUGGCCUUUGGGUGCUUAAAUUCCAGAGCAUGUAUUUUCUGGAAGAUGUGACACCAAGUUCCAAAGCUCACCUGAUUCUCCAUAUCCUACUGUUGGCAAGAGCAUUUGUUCUAACCUUCAGGAAUCCCAGUGAGCCAGGUGGUGGCUGCCCUGAUGGCCCCUUGCCACCCUUGAGCUGGAGGAACAACUCCCCCAGCUGUUGUAUUUUGCUUUCCUGCUGCUGGGAUUGAAAUCAGCACCUGAUGUGUCUAGUCUUUGCUACUUUGUGGGUCUUUUCCCACCCUUUAUCCCUUCUCCCACCCCUAUUUCUUCCCCUAACACUAGUGAAGAAAGAAAGGAUUUAGUGAAGAAAGAAAGGAUAGAGUGGAGAGAGAGAGACAGAGACAGAGAGAAACAGAGAAAGAGAUCCCUGAAUCUAACUUCUUUCUUUUUGUUUCUUCUUUGAGCACCAACUAGCAAACAACAAACAACUCCUCUGUGAUGUCUGUAUAUGCUUGGCCUGGGAGUGGCACUCUGAGGAGGUGAGGCCAUAUUGGAGUUGAUGUGUUACUUCGAGUGUGGGCUUUGAGACCCUCUCUCAGCUACCCGGAAGUCAGUCUUCUGUUUGCCUUCAGAACAAGAUAUAGAACUCAGCUCCUCCUGCACCAUGCCUGCCUGGACAUUGCCGUGCUCCCGCCUUGAUAAUGAUGGACUGAACUGAACCUGUAGGCCAGCCCCAGUUAAAUGCUGUCUUUGUAAGAGUUGCCUUGGCCAUGGUGUCUGUUCACAGCAGUGAAUCCCUAACUAAGACAAAUUCUGAAUUAACAAUCACUGACCCCACCUUUUGUGAAACCCUAACUAAGACACAUACUGAAUGAACAAUCGCUGACCCCGCCUUUGGCAUUUAUAUACCCUCUGAAGAGUUUCCAGAAUUCCAAAAUUAAGUUUACGCAAUUGCGGAAACUAUUUGCAGCUGGCAAAACCAUGCUUGUGCUAGAGCAUGAGGCAAAUCAUAGUCAGCUGCUUCAGACAAUCCAAAGCAGCCCACCAUUCCUAUACCUGGGAUUAAUAUUUAUGUGAUUUUAAAAGAAACUACAUUUCCCCCCUUCUGUUGUAAGUCAUUAGUUGUACUGUCUGUCGUCUGUGGCAGGAAGUUAUAAACAGACAUUUUUCAAUGAAAUCAGUACUUUCCAGGUCACAGCCAGAGGCCUCUCCUGCUCAUUUCUAAUCCUUUCAUCAGCUUUGAUGGUGUGGUGGUUUGAAUAGGUUUGGCCUCCAUAGAUUCAUGUGUUCCAAUGCUUGGCCUUAGGGAGUGGCACUAUUAAGAGGUAUGGCCUUUGGAGGCAGUGUGUCUCUGUGAAGGUUUUGAGGUCUUCGAUGCUCAGGCUUCCCCCAGUGUGGAGUAGAGCAUCCUCUGGCUGCCUGUGGUGGACCGUCUCCUCUUGGCUGCCUUCAGAUCAAGAUGGAGCUCAGCUCCUUCUUUAGCACCAUGCCUGCCUGUAGGCUGCCUGCACCAUGCCUGCCUGAAGGCUGCCAUGUUUCCUGCAGUAACAGACGGAACUUGUAAACUUCUGAGACCACGAUCCAGCCCCAAUUAAAUGUCUUCUUUGUAAGA